AUGUUAUCACAGGUAAUGGUUUUACUAAAAUUUCCAACCUUAUAUAACAAAAUAAUCUUUCUUGCAGCCUCCAAGAAAAUUUAUUUUACUGUCUUUCUAGCUUCCACUACCAAUCUUCUUGAUGCCUUUUGGACCUCUAAUAGUCACCCAGUCUUACAGGCAGCUGCUAUGUUGGAAGUUGUCCUGAGAAGAGGCCCAGGAGUCAAGACAUUGAGGGCAGCCUGUGGCCAGUGAGCAAGGAGAAAGUGAAGACUGCAAUCCAAUAAUCCCUAAGGAGCUGAAUUCUUCCAACAACCACAUGAAUGAACUCAGAAGCUUUCUCAGGCAAGCCUUAGCCCACACCUUGAUUGAAGGUUUGGGUAAGGAAUUGAGGCCGAGGUUAGAGGAUUCAUCUAAGCCACACCCAGGUUCCAAAUGCCCAGAAACUGUGAGAUAAUCAAUUUUGUCAUAAGCCACCAAGUCUAGGGGGUGAUUUGUUACUCCACAGUUGAUAACUGUUACAAGUCCUAUCAUGAUUGCCAUUUUAAAGAUGAGGAAACUGAAAUUAAGUUUCUAGCCCACAUCUUAGAAGAUUCUUUGCCAAUCCUUACCUUAAGUUUACUGCCUCUUGCCAGUCAGUUACCAGCCUGAGUCGUGUAAGAAUUUGUGUUUGUAAUCCCUAUAGUAUUCAUUCUUUAGCAAGUUAGUUUCUACUUAAGAAGAUUGCAAACAAUUUAGGAUGCAGCAUAUGUUUUUUAUCCAGGAAUGUUUUUCAAUGUAACUGAAAUUAGAAGAUCAAGCCAUAUUAAAACAUUUCUGAGAAGCAAAAUUUUCACUAUUAAAAAUAUAACUUAAUGAAAAUGGAAAACAUAGACACAGUAGGUAGCUGGAUAGGUAGGUAGGUAGACAGACAAAUGAAAGGCAGACAAAACAAAAUGAAAGGAAAGAAGAUGUCUUUAUCUAAAUAUGGCCUUUACAUGUGUGUGUCCUGAGUUACUAAGUUUGUUAACAAUCCACGUGUCAUAUGUGUUCAGAUCAGUGGAAUUCUGAGUCUUCCCUUAUCCAUAUGACAAAUAAGUUCUUACUGCUUGGUUUUGAGACACUUACCAACUUAAAUAAAGGAAAUACGCUCUUCUCUCCUUAGUUUAAUUUGCAUGUUAUAUAUUGCUGCUUCAUAUAACAACUUCUGUUCUAGGUCAGAAAAUUUGCAGUGGUACUGGGCUUUGAAGAAAAGACUACUUUCUGAGCAUUUAGAGAUUUGAUUUGUUUUAAAACAACUUUGUUUAUACGUAGUUUACAUGCCAUAAAAUUCACUCUCUUAAAGCAAUUCACUGGUUUUCAGUAUAUUCACACUAUUGCGCAGGUAUCAGCACUAUCUAAUUUGAGACUAUGUUUAUCACCCCCAAAAUAAACUCCCUACCUAUUAGCAGAUAUUCCUAUGUUUCACAAGCAAAGUCAUGGCAAACAGUCAUAUCUUUCCUGUCUCUGUAGAUUUCCAUAUCCUGGCCAUUUUGUAUAAUUAGAAGCAUACAAGAUGUACUCUUUUGUGACAGCCUUCUAUCACUUAGCAUUAUGUUUUCAAGAUUCAUCUUUACCGUUGCAUGUAUUAGUGCUUCAUUUCUUUUUAUUGUUGAAUAAUAUUCCAUUAUGCAGAUUUUGUUUAUGCAUCCACGAGUUGAUGGAUACUUAGAUCUACUUUUUGGCUAUUAUGAAUGUUAUUGACAUUUGUGUUUAAGUUUCUGUAUUUUCAAUUGUCUGGGGUACAUAUGCUAGGCCAUAUGGAAACUCUAUGUUUAACAUUUUGAGGAACUGCCAAACUGUUUUCCAAAGCGACUAUACUAUUUUACAUUCCCACCUUGAAGGUUCCAAUUUCUCGACAUUCUCACCAACAUGUGUUAAUGUCUCUCUUUUUUAUUUAGCAACCUCAGUGGGUGUGAAGAAGUACCUCAUUGUCAUUUUAAUUUGCAUUUCCCUAAUGACUAAUGAUGUUGGACUUCUUUUCUUGUGCUGAUGGCCAUGUGUAUAACUUCUUUGAAGAAAUAUCUAUUCAAAUCCUUUGUUCAUUUUCAAAUUGUGUAGUACUUUUAUUAUUGAAUUGUAAGAAUUCUUUAUAUAUUUUGGAUACAAGUCCCUUAUCAAAUGUAAAAUUUUCAAAUCUUCAAUUCUUUGGGUUGGCUUUUCACUUUCUUGAUGGCUGUUGAAGCAUAAAAGUUGUUAAUUUUGUUUAAGUCAUAUUUAGAUUUUUCUUGUAUGCCUAUAGUUUUGGUCCUGUAUCUUAGAAACCAUUGCCUAAUCAAAGACCAUAAAGAUUUACUCCUAUGCUUUUUUAUAAAGAGCUAUACAGUUUUGCCUCUUACAUUUUUUUCCAUGGUCCAUUUUGAAUCCAUUUUUAUCCAUAGUAUGGGGUCAGUUUCAAGCUGAACAUCUGUGUGGAUAGUCAUAUGAGAAUUCAGUUCCCCAGCACCAUUGAUUAGACACUUGAUUUUAAUGAAAUUGCUAAAAUAAUAUGUUAAGUAAGAAACACUUACUUAACAUAUUAUCCAAGAACAAAGGUUUUUUUAGGGAUUUUAAGGUUACACUAAUCAAACAUUUUAGACAAAUCUCUAUAUGACCCAUUUGCAUGUUAGUUAAGAUUGUUACACUUUUGAUAGUAAUGUUUCAGACUCAGACUUUCUAGUGUGGGCCUUGGAAAAUGUCUAAGAUUGCACAGAUUUUUAAAAUAAUUCCUUGGCGAAACUAUACUAGUUUAUAUUAUUUUAACUGGAUUUAGAUUCCUCUGAAUUCUUUGUAUUGUAUACUUUAGAUUAGAGGUUCUUACUGGAGUAACCUUAAGUAAUUAAAGGUCACAAGGGAGUGCUCAAUACUAAUCUCUUUGUUUACACAGAUUUCAAUAAAAUGUCCUCCCUGGAGAGAGAGAGCGCGCGCGCACGCAUGCAUGCAUGUUUUCUAAACCAGAUGAUUUCUAUAGUUUUGUUUUCAUUGCUUGUGAUGUCUGUUUAAAUUUGUAUAAAUAAACAUAUUUGCAGAGUUCAUUAUUUGUUGCGAGUGAAAAAACGAGAUAGAAAAAAGAGUAAAAUUGCAAUAAUGGAGACUCAGUAAAUGUUACUUAUGUAAGAUUUAUAGACCUCCUCUACAACCACCUGAAUUGUCACUACCAGAUAUGAUUAGUCCUGCCCAAAAUCCCAGUUGGCAAAUUUUACCAUUGUAUGGAGUCUUCUCCCAACCAAAGACAAGUGGCAGUUUAGUAAUCUCUUUAAUAACAUACCUUUAUUCUCAUCACACUCCCUUCCAUCUCACUUAUUCUCUCUUUAUCUUAUUCAGUCACCAGUAUGUUGAACAGGGAUCUAAAUUUAGAGACUAAAUUAACUGAGGCUAAUACUAGGAGAAAAGUAGUUUAGAAAAUUAUAAAACAAACUUAGCAAAAAGACACAGAAAUUUCUGGAAGAUCUGGAGAGCCAGGAUUUAAGACUAAUCAGAAGGGCACAACUUUCAAUUUUAUUAUGCACUAGGACUGACUGAUCUCACAGCUGGAUACAGACACCAUAGUCUACACCAACACUACCACUAAUACCAUUAAUGCCAUUUAUUUAUAGGUUCUUAAUUCUGUUUCAAUUGCUGCUCAAUUCUUGCAUGGAGAAGGAGGAUGCACCUGCCAUUGUGACCAUCUCCCCUGGCAUGGAUGCCGUGUUAUUCUCACUUCUUCAUAUCACUAGUUUCCAAUUGAGGCUUACGAGUAGGUGCUUGGAUCCAGGCUUUAAGAGAAACUAGGCAUAUAAGUAUCUCCACUAUUCUGUGUGGGAGGAGUUUUUGAUUCUGAGAUAGGAAACUCCACACAUGUAGGAGUGUUUACAUGCAGUGCAAUCUGAAACGAAAAAUCUUGUAGCAAUCAACAAUUUCCAUGAAUCUAUUCAAUAAAAC
rnacentral:lncRNA from 1 species